UAUGAUAGCCUCUUGGAGCAUGUCUGGAGUUUGAGGUGUUCAUAAAUUAGUGUAUGAACUGUGACAUAAUGUUUGUGGAUGCUUAUUUUCAUUUUUGUUAUAUAAUAUGAAAUACAUCUUCCAUCAAAAUCAGUUGACAAGGCUGUCUGUAUGUUUGUCUAUUAUAAACCAUGUCGUGACCAUGAUUUUGUGAUGAGCUGAAGUUUAAAAAUGUCCACCACAGUGCUGUGCAUGAACAUCUGGAAACGUCUCUCCAGAUGUGUGUAUGUGUCGGUAUCAUAAUCUAAUUGUAUUUAUGAGGUCAGUGGUGCCUGAAAGAGCUCACACACACACACACACACACACACACACACACACACACACACACACACACACACACACAAACACAAACACAAGCAGACACAGUUCGAUCCAGAACUAGGCCAACCCCCCACCUCCAAUCCUCCGGGCUAGCGACCGACAUGUUCUGGUUACUAUGGCAACCCCAGGCUCUUCUCCAAGACAGUGUAUUACCCAUCAACCCCUGCGGCUACAGGAACCCCACUAAUCAAAGUAGACUCUACUUUCUACUGAAGGGCUCUACUAACACCGUUUCUGAUGGUCAAAGCCUUGACGAGAAAAGAAUCAUGGCAGGAGACUCCGAAAGACUGAGGAGGCCGACAAUGUAGCAGGACACUGAGUACAGAGAGCUAGCUCCUGGUAUCUGGUGUACUGCUCCCGGAGCGAGUCCAGCAGCUUCAUCACCUGAGGCUGAGCCAGCAGCUCCUCCUCCAUGGGACACCAGGCUGGACCUGGAGGUCAGGCAGAAGACAGCCGGGGUAACAUUCCAGGACAUCUCUUUAUUUCUGAUUUAACUGUACAAAAAGUAACUGCAACGGUUUAAUUCAGGACAUCAGCUCUGUCUAGUUCAUGGCUUUGUCUCUUCUUGGUGUAACAGGUGUAAUAGCUUUUCUCUGGUUUAGUUCAAAUUGACUUUUAGCUACAUUUUGUACGAAAACACUGCUGCUACUACAUACUAACCAACACUAGAAAAUGUGAUGUGAUAAGGACAGAGGUAAUAGUCUCUGUCCUUAUUUAAAUUACAUUAGUCCCUUGAAGAUGCUAGACCAAACUUCAAGAUUUUGCUUUUAACACUUAAAACAUUGCACAGGCUACGCACAUAGGUCAGGGUUUCAUUGUACAUGUGGCAGGUAAUAAAUAUUCUGUUUGUUAUGUGUGUUUUGCUGAUGUUUCUUUUCAUCUGUUUUUAUCACACGUACACCCUGAGUCGUGCUCUGUGACACUGGACUGCAGCAAACUUUGACUCGGCCUUGCUUGGCCAUUAGCGCAGCUGUGACCGCUGUCAGUCUCGAACAACAACGGUCCAGGAAUAAAUUUGCACAUGACAGCACAGAUGACACCCCUCCACUCAUCCGUCCGUCCACCCGUGCACCCCGGAUGAAUGACAGCUGCCUCCUCACCUCCCUGUCCUCC